UCUUAUAAAAAUUUGAGCUUUUUAAAUAAUUAUUCCAUCUGGGUUUAGCCCAAGUGUUUGUGGUUGAUAAUUUCCCUUGUUAGUGCUUUAGUUUUUAUUGUUUUGUUACUUGUUGCAUGAUUUGGGUUGCUGGUACCCUCUCUCUCUCUGUUUCUCCAAUUUUAGAUUUUGGAAUUUCAUAAUGUUACCUAGGGUUUUCCGUUUCUCAAUUUCAUUUUGCAUUACUUUUCUUCCUAUUAUUUCUCACCUAGGUUAAAAUCCGAAGUUUCUGUUAAUAAGGAAAGUGUUGUUGAUUGAUUUGAGGAUGAAAUCUGGGUGCUGGUUCCUCAACAGGAAAAAUUAUUGUUGUCAGUUGCAUUUUAUCGGUAGCCUUAAUAUCACUGUAUUCAAUUAUGUGGGCUUAUAAAAUUGUGGUUCCCUCUU